AAAAAAAAGAGGAGUUGGCAGCAUAGGCAGUAGGGCUUCUCUCGUGAGCGGGAAGUCACCUAGACGUCAUAAUCUAGUGGCACAAGGGCCGUCCAGCCUAGAAUGUCGGGACCUCAACCAGUGGCAACUCAAUUGAGACCGGAUGUAACAUCAUGAUAGCAUCUAUGCACGAGACCCGGGGGAGAGAUAUGGGCCGUCCAGCCUAGAAUGUAGGGACCUCAACCAGUGGCAACUCAAUUGAGACCGGAUGUAACAUCAUGAUAGCAUCCAUGCACGAGACCCGGGGGAGAGAUAUGGGCCGUCCAGCCUAGAAUGUAGGGACCUCAACCAGUGGCAACUCAAUUGAGACCGGAUGUAACAUCAUGAUAGCAUCCAUGCACGAGACCCGGGGGAGAGAUAUGGGCCGUCCAGCCUAGAAUGUAGGGACCUCAACCAGUGGCAACUCAAUUGAGACCGGAUGUAACAUCAUGAUAGCAUCCAUGCACGAGACCCGGGGGAGAGAUAUCUCCUAUACCCUCGAUCCCCCAACAACGGCCAAACACUGCCAACUCCUGCCCCCCACGGCUAGGGUGACAAGCUUGUGCCACCGAGCUCGGCGGGAGCAACUCGUUCGUCUCCUCUUUUAUAUGGGUUUAAACCGCUGUAGAUUUUCCGUAUGGU
rnacentral:lncRNA from 1 species